rnacentral:rRNA from 1 species
AUUGAACGCUGGCGGCAUGCCUUACACAUGCAAGUCGAACGGCAGCACGGGAGCAAUCCUGGUGGCGAGUGGCGAACGGGUGAGUAAUAUAUCGGAACGUGCCCAGUCGUGGGGGAUAACGUAGCGAAAGCUACGCUAAUACCGCAUACGAUCUAUGGAUGAAAGCGGGGGAUCGCAAGACCUCGCGCGAUUGGAGCGGCCGAUAUCAGAUUAGGUUGUUGGUGGGGUAAAAGCCCACCAAGCCGACGAUCUGUAGCUGGUCUGAGAGGACGACCAGCCACACUGGGACUGAGACACGGCCCAGACUCCUACGGGAGGCAGCAGUGGGAUUUUUCGCAAUGGCGCAAGCCUGACGAAGCAACGCCGCGUGGAGGAUGAAGGUCUUCGGAUUGUAAACUCCUGUCGACCGGGACGAAUGCACUCGACCUAAUACGUCGGAAUGUUGACGGUACCGGUGGAGGAGCCACGGCUAACUCUGUGCCAGCAGCCG